GCCGGGGUAGCUCAGCUGGUCAGAGCGCACGACUCAUAAUCGUGAGGUCGCGGGUUCGAGCCCCGCCCUCGGUACCA
rnacentral:tRNA from 1 species